rnacentral:tRNA from 1 species
AGUUAAUGAACUUGUACAAGUAUAUAUUUUGAAAAUAUAAGAAAGAAAUUUUAAGUUUUCUAUUAACUU